rnacentral:rRNA from 1 species
AGCAUAUCAAUAAGCGGAGGAAAAGAAACCAACAGGGAUUGCCCUAGUAACGGCGAGUGAAGCGGCAACAGCUCAAAUUUGAAAUCUGGCCCUCGGGUCCGAGUUGUAAUUUGUAGAGGAUGCUUUUGGUGAGGUGCCUUCCGAGUUCCCUGGAACGGGACGCCAUAGAGGGUGAGAGCCCCGUCUGGUUGGACACCGAGCCUCUGUAAAGCUCCUUCGACGAGUCGAGUAGUUUGGGAAUGCUGCUCUAAAUGGGAGGUAUAUGUCUUCUAAAGCUAAAUACCGGCCAGAGACCGAUAGCGCACAAGUAGAGUGAUCGAAAGAUGAAAAGCACUUUGAAAAGAGAGUUAAAAAGUACGUGAAAUUGUUGAAAGGGAAGCGCUUAUGACCAGACUUGGGCUUGGUUGAUCAUCCUGGGUUCUCCCUGGUGCACUCUUCCAGUUCAGGCCAGCAUCAGUUCGCUGCGGGGGAUAAAAGUUUUGGGAAUGUGGCUCCUCCGGGAGUGUUAUAGCCCAUUUCAUAAUACCCUGCUCCGGACUGAGGUUCGCGCAUCUGCAAGGAUGCUGGCGUAAUGGUCAUCAGCGACCCGUCUUGAAACACGGACCAAGGAGUCGUCUUCGUAUGCGAGUGUUCGGGUGUUAAACCCCUACGCGUAAUGAAAGUGAACGCAGGUGAGAGCUUCGGCGCAUCAUCGACCGAUCCUGAUGUUCUCGGAUGGAUUUGAGUAAGAGCAUACGGGGCCGGACCCGAAAGAAGGUGAACUAUGCCUGUAUAGGGUGAAGCCAGAGGAAACUCUGGUGGAGGCUCGCAGCGGUUCUGACGUGCAAAUCGAUCGUCAAAUAUGGGCAUGGGGGCGAAAGACUAAUCGAACCUUCUAGUAGCUGGUUUCCGC